rnacentral:rRNA from 1 species
GAUGAACGCUGGCGGCGUGCCUAAUACAUGCAAGUCGAGCGAACAGACGAGGAGCUUGCUCCUCUGACGUUCGCGGCGGACGGGUGAGUAACACGUGGAUAACCUACCUAUAAGACUGGGAUAACUUCGGGAAACCGGAGCUAAUACCGGAUAAUAUAUUGAACCGCAUGGUUCAAUAGUGAACGACGGUUUUUCUGUCACUUAUAGAUGGAUCCGCGCCGCCUUAGCUAGUUGGUAAGGUAACGGCUUACCAAGGCAACGAUGCGUAGCCGACCUGAGAGGGUGAUCGGCGACACUGGAACUGAGACACGGUCCAGACUCCUACGGGAGGCAGCAGUAGGGAAUCUUCCGCAAUGGGCGAAAGCCUGACGGAGCAACGCCGCGUGAGUGAUGAAGGUCUUCGGAUCGUAAAACUCUGUUAUUAGGGAAGAACAAAUGUGUAAGUAACUAUGCACGUCUUGACGGUACCUAAUCAGAAAGCCACGGCUAACUACGUG